ensembl:lncRNA
UCUAUUUCUGUUUUACCAGUUUCUCUGAACUGGUUUACCAGUUACAUAUUUUGCUUCUUGUUUUUAUAGACUUCUGAGAGCAACAGCAAAUAUAUUCAAUACUGAGAAUAUUUCAUUUGUAUUGAACACAAUGAGAAGGUGGAUAAAUGUCAAGAAGACAUCAAAAUACCAGUGAUGAAUGUAUCAUGAGAGGACACAACAUCAUCAUAUAAAAAGUUACCCAGACUUUAAUGGUGAGUUCUAGACUGUGGACUCAAGGUAAGAUGUAG